rnacentral:rRNA from 1 species
CCUACGGGGGGCAGCAGUGGGGAAUAUUGGACAAUGGGCGAAAGCCUGAUCCAGCCAUGCCGCGUGUGUGAAGAAAGCCUUCGGGUUGUAAAGCACUUUCAGUGGGGAAGAAAGCCUUGGGGCUAAUACCCUCGAGGAAGGACAUCACCCACAGAAGAAGCACCGGCUAACUCCGUGCCAGCAGCCGCGGUAAUACGGAGGGUGCGAGCGUUAAUCGGAAUUACUGGGCGUAAAGCGCGCGUAGGCGGUCUGAUAAGCCGGUUGUGAAAGCCCCGGGCUCAACCUGGGAACGGCAUCCGGAACUGUCAGGCUAGAGUGCAGGAGAGGAAGGUAGAAUUCCCGGUGUAGCGGUGAAAUGCGUAGAGAUCGGGAGGAAUACCAGUGGCGAAGGCGGCCUUCUGGACUGACACUGACGCUGAGGUGCGAAAGCGUGGGUAGCAAACAGGAUUAGAUACCCUAGUAGUC